UGAGGGACAGGGUCUGCACCAGAGGGCAGUGGGCAUGGAAUGGGCUGCCCAGGGCUGUGGGAACGGCCCCCAGUGCUAGAGUUCCAGGAGAGUUUGGACAAUGCUCUUGGAAGUAGGGUUUGAAUUUUGGGUGGUCCUGUGUGGAACCUGGAGCUGGACUUGGUGAUCCUUAUGGUUCCCUUCCAACUGGGGAUGUUCUUUGCCUCUAAUGCAUGUGGCCAUGUGUCAGCUCUGAGGGAAAUGGUUAAAACUCCCACAGAUACGGAGCACAAGUGGUUAAUUCCUGCAAUUUCCGUGGGUCCAGGACUCGGCCACCAAUGGUAUGUCCAGUCCCAGAGGAAAUCUACAAAGUAUGAAUCCAAAGCAUUCAGCUGAGAUGUGGCGAAUGCAGACCUUACCAGCCUCAGAGACACAACACCAUUCUUUCCUCAUCUUACAUGAUGGGAGCUUUUUCAUUCACUCUUAAACAAUUUCAUUGGCGGCAGAAGUGGAGGGGAGAUGGGAUCAUACGUUCACAGAAUAUCCUGAGCUGGAAGGGACCAACAAGGGUCCACAAUUCCAGCUCCUGGCUCUACACAGCACCACCCAAAAUUCCAACCCUAUGUCUGAGAGUGUUGUCCAAAUGCUCCCUCAACUCCAUCACCUCAGUGCUGUGACCGCUGCUCUGGGGAGGCAGCUAUGGUGAGCAGGCUUUACAGUGAGUGACAUGGAUGUAGUGCAUUGGUGGAAGGUAAGGACAUUUUUCUGCAGUCUUGUCUUCCAAUAAGGCUUUAGGUGGCCUGGAAUAAAGAGUCAUGGAGCUGCUCGUUGGUGAUGUUGUGAAUCUUUGAAGUCUGAAUGCUUGGGCUGGUUUUCAUCACCUGAGCUUACUAAUUAGUGUUAUUUAUUGCUAUUCACAGUGAAAAUUGAUAAAUAAUUCUUAAGGCAUUUGAGAAUGAAUAAGCAUUCCAAGAAUUCUGGAGUCAUCUUUAUUUUAAUUUUAUUGCCUUAGUAUAAAUAAUUGUCCUUUUUUAGUUAUUGGUAUUUAGAAGAUACAUUUUCUUAGCUUCAAAUAGCUCAAAAAAUAAAUACAAGUCUGGAGGUACCAUGUCCUAGCAACAGCAUGCAGAGAUCAUUCCUGAGCACGAAUGGGCACCAGAAAUGGCAGGAGGGAAGCACUCAAGUGACAUGAAGAGCUCCAAGUCUGUGUUUAGCCCUCCCAGCCAUGUGAAGCCAAGAAGACGAUUCUAGCCUAUCCCCUCUCACUCUUGUGCACACUUUAGUGCUAAAAGUGAUGCUGUAUUAAGGAAGACCACCAAAACACUAUGCCAACUGUGCUGCUUAAGUGCUUAUGGAAUGCUUGGCCAAACAAACAAAUGAAACCCAACAAAACAGUACACACUCGUAAUUAGCAGCAUCUUUUCUUCUGGGGAAAGAGCGGAGACCGCUGUCAUUAAACAUUCUGCAGAGUGUUUCAGAGACAGAAUCUAAAUGCUAAGAGAAAGGAAUAUUUAGUUACAAAGGAUUAGUGCUUCAUAACUAGUCACUGUUGCUAGUCAUUUUACCACAGGUAAAAAGGAACUUAUUUUUCCUAUUUAUUUUUUUACCCCAACAAAGAAGAAUCGAAAAGAGUAUUUGCCCAGAUAGUGCAGUCGUUUUCAGAAUAUGUAGAUUCUCUGCCAUUGCUUUCACAAUCAAGUAUUUAUCAUCCUUAGGAAACUUUUGAAGGUACUUCAGUUACUUAUUUCUAGGAACUGAGGUCUCAUGUCCAGAAAAAGCUCCCGUUGGUACAAGCUGUAGCUGCCCUCCUGCCUAGCAACACAGAUCAUCACAAACAAAUCCGUCUGGAGCACCCUGGCUCCCAAUGAAGCAGUGUCCAAAUACGGUCUCUGUAUCAAUAGUUCAGCAAGCACUCUGUGCAAUUCUUCUUGCCAGCGUUGAUGAUAGUUUCUUUUUGACUGCAGUCUCUGAUUCAAGAAGGCUGAAAUUUAUGCAUUAAUAUGUAUCACAUUACUGCGUUUGUAACUUGAAAUAAGCAAAAUAUAACUGCCUUUGCCUAAAGAACAGCAAUAUACUUAAGGAAAUCAGUGGAAGAAGUUGUGCAGGGAAGGAACUCUGGUGUCUUCUGAGUUCUGCUGGUGAUCUCUGGGACAGUUGUUGGCUCCAAAGUCGUGCCACUCUGCAGAGGAAGAGAAUUAACUUUGAAGGCAAGAAUAAGAAAGAACACAUGGUAGAAGAAAGGCUAUCAUUUUGUAGGACAAGAGGCCGCUUCAACAUCCUUCUCCAGAGAGAAAUGGAAGAUCUCCAUGGAUUGUUCAAAACAUUGUAUUAUUCAGGUGGGCACUGCCAUUAUGAGAAACAGAAAAGUCAAGAGUGCAACUGUGGGAGGCAGAAAUGCAAGAGGGUGCAUGACUGUUGCAUGACUGAGAGAAAGGAGAUGUAAUUUCCUCCCUUUGUAUUUGCAUACGCAGAACUUCUUUUAGAUGUAUGGUAGAACAUACUAUGAUUCAGCCUAAAUUUAAACCUUUUUAUUCAGCUGCAUAAAGGUAACUUGAAGGCUGACUGAAUAGGAAAUGCUCAUCUCACCUCUGCUGUUUGCACAUUUACUAGAUUCCAAUGCUUGCUGCUUUGAACUGUAUUAGCUAAAGUUAUAAUUGAAUGUUCUUUAUCUCCCUUUUUCAUCACUUAAAAAUCAUUUCACAGUAAAGCUUUGUGUAUUUUAUUUCAACUCAAAAGUUAUUGAGAAACUUAAGGGAAAACAUUUUUUAGUUACGUAACAUGUAGGAAAAUAUAUUUCCACGAGCCUCUGAUUCAAAUGUCACACAAACAUAAUGCAAAAUAAUAAAUUUGGAAUAUAAGUCUGAAAAAAAUAAAUUCAGCAUUUUGGUGGUGCAGGUAUUUAAAAUUGAAAUAUCCAUAUUGACACAGUAAAAAACACUAUUCACUCCAGGUGACAUAUAGCUAAAAUUGUUUGUAGAGCUAUAUGAAUAUUGAGCUGUUACAAUACUGAUGGCUCUCACUGCAAAGUUCCCUCAGACAACGUAGCAGUGGCCUUAAAGAACUUCUGGUUUUAACUGUUCAAACUACAAUUGACAUUUCUGUUGUAAGUUCUGUGCCAUUUUGGAGGUAACUCCAGAAUUCUAUCCAAGAAGGGACUGGAAAGGUGACUGUAUUUAGAAGAUUAGGCUGCUAAACUGUGAUCUGUUACCACACAUAUAUAAGAUCUAUAUCAGACAACAGAUCUUGACACUUGAAUAGGAAUGUGGCUAAUUUACAAAUAAUUUUAUUUGAAGUAACAUACUUAUUCUUACUAUUAGCCAUAAAAGGAAACAUGUAAAAGAAGAGGUAUUUUGUGCAUCAUAUCAGAACUACAAGUUGCUUCUUUUGGUUCUGAAGGAGUGAAGACUUCACAAGUAUUCUCUCUGAAAUAACUGUGGCUCAGACACUACACAAUUUUGUGAUACAAUGGUAAGCUGCUGCUGAAAGCCCUGUUUUCUGCAGUUUGUGAUACUCUGUUGGGAAAAAGAACAACAAAUACCUGGAAACUUUCCCUAGUUCUGAAGAAACUUUCAUGCUUUUUUUUCUCUUCUGUAGACAUGUACAGUGACACUUGUGUGUUGGGUGUAACAAAACUGUAUAUUGUCUCUUUGGCUAAGCAGUAGAUGACGCCUAGAGCUAUCUGGGAUUUGGGCAAGAAUUAACAACAUUGAGCUGAGUUAUUUACCAUAAUUUAUUAUGCACUGAUGUUAUUGCUCUAAAAAGCCACAUGAAAAGGACAACAAAAAGUUGCUGCUUGUGAAAAACUAGGAUUGGAAUAAUUUUGCUGCAGUUCUCAGUCCUUUAAACUGGCAUUUUGUCUGCAGUUGCUUGUAAGUUUCCAAAACUGAAAUAUUACCUUUCCCAAACUAACCUCAACUUCUCCCGAUUCCUUUUCUCUGCCUCUCAAAAACAAAACAAACAAACAAACAGAAAAUCAAGCCUGAAGGAACACGCAGAAUCCAAAAUUUCUUCCAAGCCAUUGAAGGUUGGCAAAACUAUAAACAAUGGAAAACAAACAAAUAAACAAGGAUUAGCUGAAUGUUUGCCUCAGCCUGAAUGUUCUGGAGAGAAAGAAAAAAAAAUGCCAGAAAAGUUUCAGCCCUUUCUCAGAAUGAAAUUAGAAGGACAUAUGUAUAUUAUUUUAAAUUUCUGUGAAAUCCUUAGUCUAUUAACUGAAAGCACUGAAAACAGCUCUUAAUAAUCAAUAUAGAUGCUACCCUGAUGUGAGAGAAUUGUUCUGUUCCUUUCCCAUUGCGGGUGCUCAAGGCUCCGAACACCACGCACGCAAGUACAGCGUGUCCAAGACAUCUGACGUAACCCACAUGUGCAGACGAUGGCUCUGUAUCACACACGCACAGAGUUUGGUCUCAGUAAUUACAUGACGUACACAAAUCGAUUACAUCCAGUGUCAGGCUUAUUGAACCUAUGUGGAACAGGGACUUGGUUCUCGUGCCAGGGCUUAAGGAGACUCAACCCUCAAUCCUGUUAUCCUCCUGAAGUUGAAAUAAUGAACGCCUGAAGAGUCGUGGUUGUCUGUGCACUGUAGGAACUUUACACUGAUAAAUUCCCAACUUCCUUCUUCUCCAAAUAAUAAGGCAGUGGGCUAACUGGCAUUGCUUGUUCCAGCAUUUGGUGGCAUCUAAACUCUGCGCGUCUACAGGGAGAACAUUUCUUUUGUCUCUAGCAUUUCUGCUGCUGAGAUCUAAAGGAAAAAUAUAUUAGGUUGAACAUGGAAGGAUAAGAAGUAGGGUUACUUUGGGGAAGAGGAUAGGUACAAAUAGGGGAAGAAAUAUCUUUGGACUGUAGGCCAGAUGAUACAGGAGUUUCAAUUUCAGCAAAAGAAGUAACAGUAAGAUUAGCCUUGAGCCUCUUGUUGCUCUUGGCGUGCUUGCCGGGUUACUUCUAUCAGCCCUUGCUUUUACAUCUUAGAUACAGCCUAUUUUGCAGUAUUAGGACCUUGCCUAAUUUAAUAACAAGCAUACAAUUCUCAAUUCUGAGUCAGACCCAGAAGUAUACUGUUCAAAAUGACUAUAUGGGCUGUUAUAAAACAGCAGGUUAACUACGGCAAAGGCCACAAGCCUCCAGUGGCUUCUCUCAUGUGAGCUCUUACAUGGAUAGCAAGGCCUAACCAUGCCUUCACUUCAGGUAGAAGCAAUCAGAAGUAGGGAGGCACCUGCCCUUUUAGGGCUGGCUGUUGAGCCAAGAUCAACAGAAGUAUGACGUCUUAUUUCGUCUGCUUGAGCAUUUGACCACGUUAGCCAGCUUUUUGGUGCAGCUGUGAGGUACAUGUUGUUCUAUUCGGCGGCCCCAGGCAUUAAUCCAGCAAUUAAGAACAGCAUUUAGAACAGCUAAGUACUAGGAAGGAAGAGUUAACAAUUAUAAAAUAGAAGACCUAAGUAACAUGGUAUUCUGUACUCCAUUUCACGCACAAAAUAAAAGCCCAUUCCAAAUAUAAAGUACUUGUGUAUAUCUAAGCACUGGUUUUGUGUGUCUCUCACAUUGGCUCUGUGUAAUUAAUAUUUUAUUAAAUGAAUAUGAAUAUACGAAGGCUGCUCUGAAACUAAUGCCUCC